rnacentral:rRNA from 1 species
UGGGGAAUAUUGGACAAUGGACCGAGAGUCUGAUCCAGCAAUUCUGUGUGCACGAUGAAGUUUUUCGGAAUGUAAAGUGCUUUCAGUUGGAAAGAAAAAAAUGACGGUACCAACAGAAGAAGUGACGGCUAAAUACGUGCCAGCAGCCGCGGUAAUACGUAUGUCACGAGCGUUAUCCGGAUUUAUUGGGCGUAAAGCGCGUCUAGGUGGUUAUGUAAGUCUGAUGUGAAAAUGCAGGGCUCAACUCUGUAUUGCGUUGGAAACUGUGUAACUAGAGUACUGGAGAGGUAAGCGGAACUACAAGUGUAGAGGUGAAAUUCGUAGAUAUUUGUAGGAAUGCCGAUGGGGAAGCCAGCUUACUGGACAGAUACUGACGCUAAAGCGCGAAAGCGUGGGUAGCAAACAGG